rnacentral:lncRNA from 1 species
GUGAUUAGCCUUUGCUUAUGCAAAGAGGAAUCUACAAAGGUAUAAUUUCAACUCACUUUGUUUUGAGUUGAGUUUUGGUUCACCAAUCUACUAGGCUUUGAAUUUCAUGGUUAAUGUUUUUUUUUUAAUGCAUGCAAGCAUGAUUCCGCCUUUUAAUUGUUAAAUGCAUGCUAUAGAUGUUAUUCAAAUGAACAUGUUUUCACAAAAUCAUCCUUCAAGUGGUAUCAGAGCCUAGGU